UACGAAGGGGGCUAGCGUUGUUCGGAUUCAUUGGGCGUAAAGGGUGCGUAGGUGGCGCUGUAAGUCGGGUGUGAAAUUUCGGAGCUUAACUCCGAAACUGCAUUCGAUACUGCGGUGCUUGAGGACUGGAGAGGAGACUGGAAUUCAUGGUGUAGCAGUGAAAUGCGUAGAGAUCAUGAGGAAGACCAGUGGCGAAGGCGGGUCUCUGGACAGUUCCUGACGCUGAGGCACGAAGGCCAGGGGAGCAAACGGG
rnacentral:rRNA from 1 species